GAGCACGUGGCGGAAUUGGCAGACGCGCUGGCUUCAGGAGCCAGUGGGAGCAAUCUCGUGGAGGUUCAAAUCCUCUCGUGCUCA
rnacentral:tRNA from 1 species